rnacentral:rRNA from 1 species
UACGUAGGGUGCGAGCGUUGUCCGGAAUUAUUGGGCGUAAAGAGCUUGUAGGCGGUUUGUCGCGUCUGCUGUGAAAAUCCGGGGCUCAACCCCGGACUUGCAGUGGGUACGGGCAGACUAGAGUGUGGUAGGGGAGACUGGAAUUCCUGGUGUAGCGGUGAAAUGCGCAGAUAUCAGGAGGAACACCGAUGGCGAAGGCAGGUCUCUGGGCCACUACUGACGCUGAGAAGCGGAAGCAUGGGGAGCGAACAGG